GACAGAGGGUGCAAACGUUGUUCGGAAUUACUGGGCAUAAAGGGCACGUAGGUGGUGCGCUAAGUCACGUGUGAAAUCCCCCGGCUCAACCGGGGAAUUGCGCGUGAUACUGGCGGACUUGAGGCGGGUAGGGGUGAGCGGAACUCCAGGUGGAGCGGUGAAAUGCGUAGAUAUCUGGAGGAACACCGGUGGCGAAAGCGGCAUCCUGGACCGAAACUGACGCUGAGGAGCGAAAGCCAGGGGAGCAAACGGG
rnacentral:rRNA from 1 species